ensembl:misc_RNA 7SK 7SK RNA
GGAUGUGAGUGUGAUCUGGCUGUGACAUCUGUCACCCCAUUGAUAGCCAGGGUUGAUUCGGCUGAUCUGGCUGGCUAGGCGGGUGCUCCCAUCCUCCCUCACUACUCCAUGUGCAUUCCUCCCAAAACUGCUUGCUCAGUCAAUAAGGAUGGCCUUAUUCCCGGAAUAGAGAGGGACCAGUCUUCAGUCAAGGGUAUACAAGUAGCUGUGCUCCCCUUUUAGGACCUCCAAACAAGUUCUCAAGAAUAAGGAAGCUUUCAGUGGAGGGGGUGGGACAUAGAACUCUGGUGGUGGGAACUGUAUAGAAUUAAUUAUACCCCUGUUAUCUUACAGUCUUAUUAAUCAC